GACAUCUACACAGCAUGUUUGGAGACAACCGCAGAGUAAGAACAAAUAAACCAUUUUUAUAAGCAUCAGCAAGAUAAUUGAAGUAAUAAUUGCAUAUUGUAAAUUAUUAAUAGCCUGUUAACAUGUAUAAAUGAAAUGGCUUCUUGAGUUAGCAUAAAAGCGGAACAUUGAUCUCAAAAGUGCAUAUUAUCGUGGGGUUCAUCAAGAUGGAAAUCAUCACCAAAUAUCUUCUAUUUUGUUUUCUUUUACUUUAUGCGAGCAGUUUUACAUUCAGUAACAGAGUAAGAUGCAGCCCACAUCUCUGUUCAAAGAAGAGGAACGUUAGGGUAAAUGAAUUCAGGAAAUUGAUCAAAAGUAACGAUAAUGAUCAUACAGGACGUAAGAUGACGGAAAAAGUCUAUGACACCAACGCAGAUGAUCGACAAGGAUAUCUACGUGAAUAUAUGGACACACGACGUCAUUCGAACAUAGAAAAUUAUGAUUAUGAUUAUGAUUAUGAAAACAUAAGAUUGUAAUUAUGUUUUGCGUCCAAGCACAUUAUAUGACAAAACAGUAAUAAAUUAAAAAGUAGCUCUGGCGACAAAAAACUA